GUAACGACUGAGGAGGAGCAGCACCAACAAAAACCCCAUCAUGUUCUUUUUGAAUUCUACGAGCUUCCAAAUCCCCUUGCCAAUAACAAUCCCCAUUCGUUGUUUCAGGAACCAGAUUCUGUAAUCCAACAUCUUCCCCACCGGCACCAACAUCGCGGUUAUCAUCACCUUCAUCAUCGUCGCCGCCUUCGAAAUCCCUCUUAAGCAGCUCAACCAACUGCUUGUAAAUCACUUGCUUAUGCUU
rnacentral:misc_RNA from 1 species